rnacentral:tRNA from 1 species
UUGUUGUAGCUCUCCCUAGUA